AGCGGGGUGGAGCAGUCUGGUAGCUCGUUGGGCUCAUAACCCAAAGGUCGUAGGUUCAAAUCCUACCCCCGCAACCA
rnacentral:tRNA from 1 species